rnacentral:lncRNA from 1 species
UUUGGAGGUCCAACCGGCACAGCCAUGAUUUUCAUUAAUAGAAGACAAUUUAUAAAAGAUAAAUAUACGAAAUAUAUAUAUAUAUAUUUUAUUUUUUAUUUUUUUUUUUCAUUUUUCCACUUACAUACACAUAUAUAUAACCUGAACUCUAAGGCAGUGGAUGCUCAACUGCUUAUUGUUGAUUGUCAUCGAUUAACCGAUGCAAUUACCCAUUAGGCAUCAAUGAAAUAAGAAAUUUUUUUAAGGAUGUUCAAACUUGAAAGAAGUAAAAGAAAUUUCGACAAAGGGUGUUCGAUAUAUAUUAUGUACCAUUAAAACAUGAUAGUUACCUAUAUACAUAAUGUAAUUUUUUGAUUGACCACCUUUUACCAAAGUGUAGCUUCGCCCCUGCUAGGCAAGAGGCUGUGCUGCCUUGCUCAGCGGGAAGGGAACGUCACCACCGCCGCUGCCGGCUGGUGCAUGUUUCUCCGGCAGCCGUGGAUUUCCGAGAACUCUAUUACACUCCACCACAAUGUCUUGUCUUGAGCUGCAUAUGCUUAUGCUAUGUCUAAACCACCCUAAUUUUAAUGAUUUUUUUAUUAUCCUUUUCUCAUCAUCACCCUUUAAUUUCUCACUUGCACUAGUAAUUUUUAUAUAACGAUUUAGUUCCUUUGAGAUUCUUUCAAUCUCAUAUUUAUCAAGAAGGGACAUCUCACUCUUGCUUGGACUUAAAUGAAUUGGAACAACAACAUUUGGUGAAGACUGCAUUUCUUGAUAGAAAGGAAAAACUGGAUUUGUGUUUUGGAAUUGUGGAAUUAAGUUCGACGCCUUGGCUUAUAUAAGGAAAAUGGUUGCUUUUAGC